AUGUACCUCUACACACACCUAUCCCUACAGCUACACCCCUGUAUGCACACCUAUACCUACACACACCCCUAUUGGUACAACUACACCUACCCCUACCCCUACACACACCUCUGUGUACACCUGUACCUGUCCCUACACACAUACCUAUACAUACCCCUACACCCACACCAUAUGUACACACACCUAUACCUACACCUACACGCACACCAUAUGUACACACACCUAUACCUACACCUACACGCACACCAUAUGUACACCUAUACGUACACCUACACGCACACCUAUACGUACACCUACACGCACACCUAUACGUACACCUACACGCACACCUAUACUUACACCUACCCCAUAUAUACACAUAUACCUACACCUAUACACACCUACACCUACACGCACACCCUAUGUACACCUAUACUUACCCCUACACGCACACCUAUACGUACACCUAUGCCUAUCUACAUGCACACCACACGUACUCCUAUACGUAUACCUACACGUACACCUAUACCUAGCCCUACAUAUACCACGUGUACACCCGUACCUACCCCUACACACACCAUGCAAACACCUACACGUGCGCCUACACACACCAUGUGUACAGCUACCUUUACCCCUACACACACCAUACGUACACCUACACCUAUCCCUGCACGCACCACAUGUACACUCGUACCUACCCCUACACACACCAUACAUACAUGUACACCUACACCUAUCCCUGCACGCACGAUACGUACAGCUACCCCUACACACACCACAUACACCUACACCCACCUCUGCACACACAACACAUAUACCUGUACCUACCACUACACAUGCCAUAUGUACACCUACAUGUACACCUGUACCCACCCCUACACAUGCUGUAUGUACACCUACACACACACCUGCCCCUACACACACCGUAUGUACACCUACACCUCUCUCUGCACACACCAUAUGUACACCUACACAGACUGUAUGUACACCUACACCUAUCUCUGCACACACCAUACGUACACCUACCAUAUACACCUACCCCUACCCCCACCAUACGUACACAUACACCUACCCCUACACACACUGUAUGUACAGCUACACCUAGCCCUGCACACACCAUGCAUACACCUACACCUAUCCCUACACACACCAUACGUACACCUACCCCUACCUACACUGUACCUACACCUACCUCUACACACACCAUACAUACACCUACACCUACUGUACCUACACCUACACACACCGUACCUACACCUACACCUACCCCUACACACACCGUACCUACACCUACACCUACCCCUACAUACACCAUACAUACACCUACACCUACCCCUACGCACACCAUAA
rnacentral:lncRNA from 1 species